rnacentral:rRNA from 1 species
AGAGUGAACGCUGGCGGCAGGCCUAAUACAUGCAAGUCGAACGGCAGCACAGCAGAGCUUGCUCUGUGGGUGGCGAGUGGCGGACGGGUGAGGAAUACAUGGGAAUCUGCCCAGUCGUGGGGGAUAACGUAUGGAAACGUACGCUAAUACCGCAUGCGCCCUUCGGGGGAAAGCCGGGGACCUUCGGGCCUGGCGCGAUUGGAUGAGCCCAUGUCGGAUUAGCUAGGUUGGCGGGUAAAGCCCACGAAGGCGACGAUCCGUAGCUGGUCUGAGAGGAUGAUCAGCCAACACGUGGAACUGAGACACGGUCCAGACUCGACGGGAGCAGCAGGUAGGAAUGUGACAAGUGGGCACAAGCCUGAUCCAGCCAGUCGCCG